rnacentral:lncRNA from 1 species
CUCGUAUCUAAAAAAUAAAUGCAAGCACUUGAGGAACUGUAUAAAUACAGGGCAUCUACCCUACAAUACUGCUUUAUUAAAAUAAUAAAUUCUUUUAAUAAGUUUAACCAGACAUAAGGCUCAGGGAAAACUACUCUGUGCAUAUCAGCGUACGGUGCUGAAACUGUAAAAGACGACCUGUCUCUGACAUCAUACUCAUCUUUACUCUCCUGAUGUCGUAAGGGACGUAAGAAAAACCACAUUAUAAGCCUAAAUGUACUGUCUUCAAGUAUCUCCAUGAUUAAAGUGUUCCUAAGAAACCGUCCUUA